CGAACGUACACAACCUUCCUACAAGUGGGGAAUAGCCCAGAGAAAUUUGGAUUAAUACCCGUAACAUAUAAAGAUGGCAUCAUUUUUAUAUUAUAGCUACGGCGCUUGUUGAUGGGUGUGCGGCUGAUUAGGUAGUUGGCGGGGUAAUGGCCCACCAAGCCUGCGAUCAGUAGCUGAUGUGAGAGCAUGAUCAGCCACACGGGCACUGAGACACGGGCCCG
rnacentral:rRNA from 1 species